GACGAACGCUGGCGGCGUGCUUAACACAUGCAAGUCGAACGAUGAAGCUGGAGCUUGCUCCGGUGGAUUAGUGGCGAGCGGGUGAGUAACACGUGAGUAAUCUGCCCUUGACUCUGGAUAACUGCGGGAAACUGUAGCUAAUACCGGAUACGACACCUUCGGGCAUCCGAUGGGUGUGGAAAGAAUUUCGGUCGAGGAUGAACUCGCGGCCUAUCAGCUAGUUGGUGAGGUAAUGGCUCACCAAGGCGACGACGGGUAGCCGGCCUGAGAGGGUAACCGGCCACACUGGGACUGAGACACGGCCCAGACUCCUACGGGAGGCGGCAGUGGGGAAUAUUGCACAAUGGGCGAAAGUCUGAUGCAGCAACGCCGCGUGAGGGAUGAAGGCCUUCGGGUUGUAAACCUCUUUUAGUUGGGAAGAAGCGAAAGUGACGGUACCAACAGAAAAAGCACCGGCUAACUACGUGCCAGCAGCCGCGGUAA
rnacentral:rRNA from 1 species